GCUGGUGUGACAAAAGGUGCCUAAAAUAAAAAGAACAGGGGCUCAGUUUCUGCUGUUGGGACUGGGAAUGGUUGCCUUAAAAGCUCCGUGAAUGGAAGCCAGCUUUUAACAACUUGUGUAUUUUAUUAGAGAAAAGGAUAGUUGUUCAAGUGGGGCAAGGUGCAUUAUAAUAUACAAGGGUCAUGAGAAUUAUAACAGAUGUUGACCUCUUUGUCGACUUCUGUGAACUGCCUCGUCAAAUCGAUUGAACCGAUAAUCUACUCCAGUUAUCUAGCCGAUCCAUUUAUGAAAGCUUUGAUAUAAGGGUCAUGAGAAUUAUAAUGGAUGUUGACCUCUUUGUCGACUUCUGUGAACUGCCCAGUCAAAACGAUAAUCAACUCCUCCAGUUCUCUUGCCGAUCCAUUUAUGAAAGCAUUGAUAUAAAGUAGUGAUUAGUGUUUUCAUCUAAACUCACAAUUCUUAACUGCCCCAAAGAGAACACACAUCAUAAAAAAGGACAACAAGAGGCAAAACAAAGGGGGGAACAUGUUCAUACACAUAAUACUAUAGAGAGAUUAACUAAACAAACUGAACUGUGAAUUAUUCAAUCAU
rnacentral:lncRNA from 1 species